rnacentral:rRNA from 1 species
GAUGAACGCUGGCGGCGUGCCUAAUACAUGCAAGUCGAGCGAACAGACGAGGAGCUUGCUCCUCUGACGUUAGCGGCGGACGGGUGAGUAACACGUGGAUAACCUACCUAUAAGACUGGGAUAACUUCGGGAAACCGGAGCUAAUACCGGAUAAUAUAUUGAACCGCAUGGUUCAAUAGUGAAAGACGGUUUUGCUGUCACUUAUAGAUGGAUCCGCGCCGCAUUAGCUAGUUGGUAAGGUAACGGCUCACCAAGGCAACGAUGCGUAGCCGACCUGAGAGGGUGAUCGGCCACACUGGAACCGAGACACGGUCCAGACUCCUACGGGAGGCAGCAGUAGGGAAUCUUCCGCAAUGGGCGAAAGCCUGACGGAGCAACGCCGCGUGAGUGAUGAAGGUCUUCGGAUCGUAAAACUCUGUUAUUAGGGAAGAACAAAUGUGUAAGUAACUAUGCACGUCUUGACGGUACCUAAUCAGAAAGCCACGGCUAACUACGUG